GACGAACGCUGGCGGCGUGCUUAACACAUGCAAGUCGAACGGUGAAGCGCCUUCCUUUUUGGUGGGUGUGGAUGAGUGGCGAACGGGUGAGUAACACGUGAGUAACCUGCCCCCUUCUUCUGGAUAACCGCAUGAAAGUGUGGCUAAUACGGGAUAUUCUGGGUCUGUCGCAUGAUGGGUCUGGGAAAGAUAUUGUUUCGGUGGGGGAUGGGCUCGCGGCCUAUCAGCUUGUUGGUGGGGUGAUGGCCUACCAAGGCGGUGACGGGUAGCCGGCCUGAGAGGGUGGACGGUCACACUGGGACUGCGACACGGCGCAGACUCCUACGGGAGGCAGCAGUGGGGAAUAUUGCACAAUGGGCGCAAGCCUGAUGCAGCGACGCCGCGUGAGGGAUGGAGGCCUUCGGGUUGUGAACCUCUUUCGCCAGUGAAGCAGGCCUGCCUCGUUUGUGGGUGGGUUGACGGUAGCUGGAUAAGAAGCGCCGGCUAACUACGUG
rnacentral:rRNA from 1 species